CCUACGGGGGGUAGCAGUGGGGAAUAUUGGACAAUGGGGGCAACCCUGAUCCAGCCAUGCCGCGUGUGUGAAGAAGGCCCUCGGGUUGUAAAGCACUUUCAGUGAGGAAGAACGCCUGGUGGUUAAUACCCAUCAGGAAAGACAUCACUCACAGAAGAAGCACCGGCUAACUCCGUGCCAGCAGCCGCGGUAAUACGGAGGGUGCGAGCGUUAAUCGGAAUUACUGGGCGUAAAGCGCGCGUAGGUGGCUUGAUAAGCCGGUUGUGAAAGCCCCGGGCUCAACCUGGGAACGGCAUCCGGAACUGUCAAGCUAGAGUGCAGGAGAGGAAGGUAGAAUUCCCGGUGUAGCGGUGAAAUGCGUAGAGAUCGGGAGGAAUACCAGUGGCGAAGGCGGCCUUCUGGACUGACACUGACACUGAGGUGCGAAAGCGUGGGUAGCAAACAGGAUUAGAUACCCCGGUAGUC
rnacentral:rRNA from 1 species